rnacentral:rRNA from 1 species
CCUACGGGAGGCAGCAGUGAGGAAUAUUGGUCAAUGGGCGGGAGCCUGAACCAGCCAAGUCGCGUGAGGGAAGACGGUCCUACGGAUUGUAAACCUCUUUUGCCGGGGAGCAACGGGGUCCUUGCGAGGGCCCGAUGAGAGUACCCGGAGAAAAAGCAUCGGCUAACUCCGUGCCAGCAGCCGCGGUAAUACGUAGGGAGCGAGCGUUGUCCGGAAUUACUGGGUGUAAAGGGAGCGUAGGCGGGACUGCAAGUUGGGUGUCAAAUCUACCGGCUCAACCGGUAGCCGCACUCAAAACUGCAGUUCUUGAGUGAAGUAGAGGCAGGCGGAAUUCCUAGUGUAGCGGUGAAAUGCGUAGAUAUUAGGAGGAACACCAGUGGCGAAGGCGGCCUGCUGGGCUUUUACUGACGCUGAGGCUCGAAAGUGUGGGGAGCAAACAGGAUUAGAUACCCCAGUAGUC